rnacentral:rRNA from 1 species
AGGGUUCGAUUCUGGCUCAGGAUGAACGCUGGCGGCGUGCUUAACACAUGCAAGUCGAACGGGAUCCAUCAGGCUUUGCUUGGUGGUGAGAGUGGCGAACGGGUGAGUAAUGCGUGACCGACCUGCCCCAUACACCGGAAUAGCUCCUGGAAACGGGUGGUAAUGCCGGAUGCUCCGACUCCUCGCAUGGGGUGUCGGGAAAGAUUUCAUCGGUAUGGGAUGGGGUCGCGUCCUAUCAGGUAGUCGGCGGGGUAACGGCCCACCGAGCCUACGACGGGUAGCCGGCCUGAGAGGGCGACCGGCCACAUUGGGACUGAGAUACGGCCCAGACUCCUACGGGAGGCAGCAGUGGGGAAUAUUGCACAAUGGGCGCAAGCCUGAUGCAGCGACGCCGCGUGCGGGAUGACGGCCUUCGGGUUGUAAACCGCUUUUGAUCGGGAGCAAGCCUUCGGGUGAGUGUACCUUUCGAAUAAGCACCGGCUAACUACGUGCCAGCAGCCGCGGUAAUACGUAGGGUGCAAGCGUUAUCCGGAAUUAUUGGGCGUAAAGGGCUCGUAGGCGGUUCGUCGCGUCCGGUGUGAAAGUCCAUCGCUUAACGGUGGAUCUGCGCCGGGUACGGGCGGGCUGGAGUGCGGUAGGGGAGACUGGAAUUCCCGGUGUAACGGUGGAAUGUGUAGAUAUCGGGAAGAACACCAAUGGCGAAGGCAGGUCUCUGGGCCGUUACUGACGCUGAGGAGCGAAAGCGUGGGGAGCGAACAGGAUUAGAUACCCUGGUAGUCCACGCCGUAAACGAUGAGUGCUAGGUGUCGGGGAGGAAUCCUCGGUGCCGCAGCUAACGCAAUAAGCACUCCACCUGGGGAGUACGACCGCAAGGUUGAAACUCAAAGGAAUUGACGGGGGCCCGCACAAGCAGUGGAGUAUGUGGUUUAAUUCGACGCAACGCGAAGAACCUUACCAAGUCUUGACAUCCUGCGACGCACAUAGAAAUAUGUGUUUCCUUCGGGACGCAGAGACAGGUGGUGCAUGGUUGUCGUCAGCUCGUGUCGUGAGAUGUUGGGUUAAGUCCCGCAACGAGCGCAACCCUCGCCCUGUGUUGCCAGCACGUCAUGGUGGGAACUCACGGGGGACCGCCGGGGUCAACUCGGAGGAAGGUGGGGAUGACGUCAGAUCAUCAUGCCCCUUACGUCCAGGGCUUCACGCAUGCUACAAUGGCCGGUACAACGGGAUGCGACACGGUGACGUGGAGCGGAUCCCUGAAAACCGGUCUCAGUUCGGAUUGGAGUCUGCAACCCGACUCCAUGAAGGCGGAGUCGCUAGUAAUCGCGGAUCAGCAACGCCGCGGUGAAUGCGUUCCCGGGCCUUGUACACACCGCCCGUCAAGUCAUGAAAGUGGGUAGCACCCGAAGCCGGUGGCCUAACCCUUUGUGGAUGGAGCCGUCUAAGGUGAGACUCGUGAUUGGGACUAAGUCGUAACAAGGUAGCCGUACCGGAAGGUGCGGCUG